CCGUCAUACGAAUGAAAACUCUCAAGCUGAAGAAUAUUCCGUUACGUGUACGCUCUAAAUUCGGAUGAUAUCGCAUUAACAUGGAGUUUUGAGAUGUAUAUUGUGAUAACCACGUGUGUACAAAUGGUGCUACUUGUCGUAAUUCAGUCAACAGCUACAUCUGUAUAUGUCGUAGUGGUUAUAGUGGACAAUUCUGUCAAAUAGUACUGGUGGAAAGAAUAAAUUUGAACGAAUAGAUGGACUGGUGAAUUGUAAAUUAACAUUAGGGUUUUUGCAUCUUUAAAAUGUGGA